rnacentral:rRNA from 1 species
UCCCUGGUUGAUCCUGCCAGUAGUUAUAUGCUUGUCUCAAAGAUUAAGCCAUGCAUGUCUCAGUGCAAGCCGUAUUAAGGCGAUACCGCGAAUGGCUCAAUAUAUCAGUUUUGGUUCCUUAGAUCUUACUCGGUUACUUGGAUAACUGUGGUAAUUCUAGAGCUAAUACAUGCAAUCAGAACUCUGACCAGUGAUGGGAUGAGUGCUUUUAUUAGAUCAAAACCAAUCGGCGGAGGGCCUUGCGUCCGAAGUCGUAACAUUUUGAUGAAUCUGGAUAACUUUUGCAGAUCGCACGGUCCCGUACCGGCGACGCAUCUUUCAAAUGUCUGCCUUAUCAACUUUCGAUGGUAGUUUCUGCGACUACCAUGGUUGUCACGGGUAACGGGGAAUCAGGGUUCGAUUCCGGAGAGGGAGCCUGAGAAACGGCUACCACAUCCAAGGAAGGCAGCAGGCGCGCAAAUUACCCACUCCCGGCACGGGGAGGUAGUGACGAAAAAUAACGAUACGGGACUCUUACGAGGCCUCGUAAUCGGAAUGAGUACACUUUAAAUAUUUUAACGAGGAACAAUUGGAGGGCAAGUCUGGUGCCAGCAGCCGCGGUAACUCCAGCUCCAAUAGCGUAUACUAAAAUUGUUGCGGUUAAAAAGCUCGUAGUUGCAUUUGUGCUCCGCGCUGUCGGUGCGAUUCUUUAGAAUCGAUACUGACACGUUUGCGGAGCAUAUCGUCGGUGAAUCGUAUGUAAAAGUACGGUUCAAUAUAUAAAAAUCCUAUCGCGAUGCUCUUCAGUGAGUGUCGAGGUGGGCCGACAAUUUUACUUUGAACAAAUUAGAGUGCUCAAAGCGGGCUCAAAAUGCUGCUUGAAUAUUUCGUGCAUGGAAUAAUAGAAUAUGAUCUCGGUUCUAUUUUGUUGGUUUUCAGAACUCCGAGGUAAUGAUUAAUAGGGAUAACUGGGGGCAUUCGUAUUGCGACGUUAGAGGUGAAAUUCUUGGAUCGUCGCAAGACGAACAUCAGCGAAAGCAUUUGCCAAAGGUGUUUUCAUCAAUCAAGAACGAAAGUUAGAGGUUCGAAGGCGAUUAGAUACCGCCCUAGUUCUAACCGUAAAUAUGUCAUCUAGCGAUCCGCCGACGUUACUACAAUGGCUCGGCGGGCAGCUUCCGGGAAACCAAAGAUUUUGGACUCCGGGGGAGUAUGGUUGCAAAGCUGAAACUUAAAGGAAUUGACGGAAGGGCACCACCAGGAGUGGAGCCUGCGGCUUAAUUUGACUCAACACGGGAAAUCUCACCAGGCCCGGACACCGGAAGGAUUGACAGAUUAACAGCUCUUUCUUGAUUCGGUGGGUGGUGGUGCAUGGCCGUUCUUAGUUGGUGGAGCGAUUUGUCUGGUUAAUUCCGGUAACGAACGAGACUCUAGCCUGCUAAAUAGGCGUCGUCAUUUAGGUGCGCGCGGCCGUUCGCGGUCGCGCAACUCACUGGCGACGUAUUAAAAUUCUUCUUAGAGGGACCGGCGGUUUCGAGCCGCACGAGAUUGAGCAAUAACAGGUCUGUGAUGCCCUUAGAUGUCCUGGGCCGCACGCGCGCUACACUGAAGGAAUCAGCAUGUUCUCCUUGGCCUAGAGGCCCGGGCAACCCGUUGAAACUCCUUCGUGCUGGGGAUUGGGGUUUGCAAUUAUCCCCCAUAAACGAGGAAUUCCUAGUAAGCGCGAGUCAUAAGCUCGCGUUGAUUAAGUCCCUGCCCUUUGUACACACCGCCCGUCGCUACUACCGAUUGAAUGAUUUAGUGAGGUCUUCGGACCGACACGCGGUGGCUUCACGGCCGUCGGCGUUGCUGGGAAGUUGACCAAACUUGAUCAUUUAGAGGAAGUAAAAGUCGUAACAAGGUUUCCGUAGGGGAACCUGCGGAAGGAUCAUUA